UACGGAGGGUGCAAGCGUUGUUCGGAUUUACUGGGCGUAAAGCGCGCGCAGGUGGGUGAACAAGUCGGAAGUGAAAUCUCGAGGCUCAACCUCGAGGCUGCUCCCGAAACUGUUCGCCUAGGGACUGGUAGAGGCUGGUAGAAUUCCCGGUGUAGCGGUGGAAUGCGUAGAGAUCGGGAAGAAUACCUGUGGCGAAGGCGGCCAGCUGGGCCAGAUCCGACACUGAGGCGCGAAAGCGUGGGGAGCAAACAGG
rnacentral:rRNA from 1 species